GACGAACGCUGGCGGCGUGCCUAAUACAUGCAAGUUGGGCGCUGAAGGUUGGUACUUGUACCAACUGGAUGAGCAGCGAACGGGUGAGUAACGCGUGGGGAAUCUGCCUUUGAGCGGGGGACAACAUUUGGAAGCGAAUGCUAAUACCGCAUAAAAACUUUAAACACAAGUUUUAAGUUUGAAAGAUGCAAUUGCAUCACUCAAAGAUGAUCCCGCGUUGUAUUAGCUAGUUGGUGAGGUAAAGGCUCACCAAGGCGAUGAUACAUAGCCGACCUGAGAGGGUGAUCGGCCACAUUGGGACUGAGACACGGCCCAAACUCCUACGGGAGGCAGCAGUAGGGAAUCUUCGGCAAUGGACGAAAGUCUGACCGAGCAACGCCGCGUGAGUGAAGAAGGUUUUCGGAUCGUAAAACUCUGUUGGUAGAGAAGAACGUUGGUGAGAGUGGAAAGCUCAUCAAGUGACGGUAACUACCCAGAAAGGGACGGCUAACUACGUG
rnacentral:rRNA from 1 species